UACGUAGGGUGCAAGCGUUAAUCGGAAUUACUGGGCGUAAAGCGUGCGCAGGCGGUGAUGUAAGACAGGUGUGAAAUCCCAGGGCUUAACCUUGGAACUGCAUUUGUGACUGCAUCGCUAGAGUACGGUAGAGGGGGAUGGAAUUCCGCGUGUAGCAGUGAAAUGCGUAGAUAUGCGGAGGAACACCGAUGGCGAAGGCAAUCCCCUGGACCUGUACUGACGCUCAUGCACGAAAGCGUGGGGAGCAAACAGGAUUAGAAACCCUCGUAGUCC
rnacentral:rRNA from 1 species